rnacentral:lncRNA from 1 species
GCUAGAGUCGCUCAAAGGACUGGACAAGAUGUUUUUAAGCAGUGCAGGCAGCGGGCACGGAGAAACCAAGGCUUCAGAGAAGGAUGCCAAGCAUCGGAAGUAACUGUCACUUGUGCCCUAGCUAAGCGACUCCCAGUGCCUGAGACAGGGCCUUGACUCCUGGGGGUGACCCUGAAAGGACUAAAAUGUGGGAUUCUAUUCAGGCCAGAGAGAAAGAACCUUUUUUCAGAAGCCCAGAGUGGGACCUGGUUGGGUAAAAGAAGAAAACGGUUCUGUGGUUUCUGGUAAGGACUCACACGAGAACCGGCAUGGAAAAGUCUGGCUCAUGGGACAGAGACCUUCCCACUGAGAUGCCUGGGCAGAUACGGGUGCCCUGAGGCUGAGAACAAAUCAGAGGUGCUACUGAAGAGUUAGUGACCUUCACUUCGGUUUCCUAGCCUCAGAACCCAGGCGGUUCCAGUGAGCAGUUUGGAUCCUUCAGGCUUUCAGAGACGAGAGGCUGGCGAGGCCCCUGAAGAACAAGAUGGUACAGCACAGACCACAGAACUUGAACCCAGGCUGCACACCAUGGUCCGAUUGCUGCCUGUCCUAUUUAUUUAUGUACAAUUUAAUUAAAUUUGAAAAUUAAAAAAGUCCAGAA